rnacentral:sRNA from 1 species
ACUUAGAUAUGACUCACUUAGCAAUUCGUCUAUGUUUUGGAUUUACGUGUAUAUAGUUGGAUUUUAUACUGUGGAUUAUUUGUUCGGAAUGUGUAUAUUUGUGAUGUGUAAUAAACUGUAGACUAGAAAUUCGGCGUCUAUUUUCAAAAUGUGAAGAAUUAAAGGUAUUGUAAGACCACUCGGUGCGGCGCUACACAUGUAUAUGUGAUUGUGUUUAUUUGGAUUUUAUAAUGUGGAUUAUUUGUUCAGAAUGUUUAAAUUUGUGAUGUGUAAAUAAACGGUUGACUUGAAAUUCGUCAUCUAUUUUCAAAAUGUGAGGAACAAAUAUGGAAACUGAAAUCAUGAAAGGUUGUUGUAAGACCGCUCGGUUCGGCGCUCCAUUUGCCCUGCAAAUGUACGUGUAUGAAAAACUUCAUCAGUAAUUUGUUACUUCUGAUGACUGUGGGACAUACUGCCGUAACACUUAGAUUCAGUUGAUGGCCAAUUGUGCUUCACGCCAGAAACAUCGUAGCUGAUCACUUCCCUCGCGUACUUUGUAAAAUGGAAAAAUUUCAAAUCGGCCUCUCCCGCACACAUCAAAAUGUUCACUACACGGAGUGUUACGAACAGAAGGAUCCCUUAUCUGCUGCUUAUGUACCCUCAUACGGUCGGCUAAUUUGGUCCCUGUUUGCCCAAUUGCGGGGAUAUUUAUAUCGUUAAAGCCGGUGGGUCAGUGGUGAAACGUCAGUGAAGGCUUGGCGUAGCAUAUGUUGGGCAGGACUAGGACCGAGUACUAUUAACGGAGCAGCGCGUGGCGCAAGUGGGACGCACGGGAGCUCGUGUUUGAACGUUUACUGUCCGGAGGCCCAGUGUGGAUAGUUUUCCAGUGAGAGACCUUCGAGUCCGGGACUGGAGACAGGAUAUUUUGUUUACGUGUUUUGUGUGCUAUGGAGGCCCAGUGGUUUCUAUUUUAGGGUGGCUUUUGCUAUUUUUGGAAGCCAAACUUUCAAUUCUUUUUUAUGAUUAAAUGAUUUUCAGUUUACCUAGUGAUAAAAGUUGAUUGUUUAAUUACAGAUAACAUUCCAAUUUACUUUUUCUGUGAAAUUACAUAUAACAGUAUUUGUAAUUUUGAUUUGUUGGUUUAUACCUUUACAUACUGUUAUAGCUGUAUUUAGCCAGCGUUUAAAGCAUUUAUUUGUUUCAUAUAGAUACUGACAAUUGAAUGUGUUAAAGAUUUAAUUCACUGUUGUUUCGUUGUCAGUGUUGAUUGAUUAACUUUUUAAAGUUAUAUUUUCUUUCUUAGUGAGAGAGUGAGGGUGUGUGUUUGUGAGUGUGAGGAUCUUCAUAUUCUAUUAUUUUAUUUGUUUUGUUGAUAAAUAAAUUCAUUUUGUUUUGU